rnacentral:rRNA from 1 species
GAUGAACGCUGGCGGCGUGCCUAAUACAUGCAAGUCGAGCGAACGGACGAGAAGCUUGCUUUUCUGAUGUUAGCGGCGGACGGGUGAGUAACACGUGGAUAACCUACCUAUAAGACUGGGAUAACUUCGGGAAACCGGAGCUAAUACCGGAUAAUAUUUUGAACCGCAUGGUUCAAAAGUGAAAGACGGUCUUGCUGUCACUUAUAGAUGGAUCCGCGCUGCACUAGCUAGUUGGUAAGGUAACGGCUUACCAAGGCAACGAUGCAUAGCCGACCUGAGAGGGUGAUCGGCCACACUGGAACUGAGACACGGUCCAGACUCCUACGGGAGGCAGCAGUAGGGAAUCUUCCGCAAUGGGCGAAAGCCUGACGGAGCAACGCCGCGUGAGUGAUGAAGGUCUUCGGAUCGUAAAACUCUGUUAUUAGGGAAGAACAUAUGUGUAAGUAACUGUGCACAUCUUGACGGUACCUAAUCAGAAAGCCACGGCCAACUACGUG